UGCCACUUGUCCAUCAGCUGUGGCCACCCCUAGGGCCCCAGUCCAGGACAGGCCACUAGUAAUAUGGAAACUCCUGCAGUGGAGCUCGCUGCCAAACCUCCCCUGUGAUGUGGACUUUGGGGCCCCAUGGUUCCCCAAAGUCAGUUACCAACAAGAGUGCUGGGUCCGUGCCACUUGUCCAUCAGCUGUGGCCACCCGUAGGGCCACAGAACAGGCCCAGUCCUUCACCCCCACUGUAGCCCCAUUACCAGGCCCUGUCUUGCCCACUGAUGGCUCACUGAGGGCUUGAGCCCACCUCUCCUAUUUUGUAGGAACCCACAAAAUAAAUUGUUAUCAGUUA